UUUAUCUCCAGGUUUUGACGGCUCUUUGUUUCUAUGCCGUUGAAGGUGGAGAAUAUGUCUGACCAAAAGAUGUGUAUGUGCUGAAUGAUGCUGCUGACAUUGCUAUGGGAGGGUGGCAGGGUGCAGAUGGCACUGUACAUUGAAAGUUACAUGGAUUCCAAGAAAGAAGGUGAAGAUAGAAAUCAGAUGCAUCUCCUGCCCAUUGGCAAGUUAAUGACAGCCCUUAUAGGUGAAGAACGUGGAGAAGAAACUGGAUGGUUUUCUCAUGAAUUCCAAGAGAUUCUGGAUGUUUUCAGAAAUAAAAAUACCUUUAAGCCUUAAUGUGCUACUGAUGAACUGACAGAAUGUCAUUUGUCAUUUUACUGCACCUCUUUUCCUCUCCCCCUCUUUUUGGGUGUGGGAAUGUAAACAAUUUAUUAUUAAACUGCCGUA